rnacentral:rRNA from 1 species
AUUGAACGCUGGCGGCCGGCCUAUCACAUGCAAGUCGAACGAGUGGCGGACGGGUGAGUAAUGUCUGUGAAACUGCCUGAUGGUGGGUGAUAACUACUGGAAAUGGUAUCUAAUACCGCAUACCAUCAGAGGUGCCCAGAUGGGAUUGGCUUGUUGGUGGGGUCACGGCUCACAAAGGCGACGAUCCCUAGCUGGUCUGAGAGGAUGACCAGCCACACGGGAACUGAGCAACGGUCCAAGAUCCUACGAGCGGCGCCAGUGGGGAAUAUUGCACAAUGGGCGCAGGCCUGAUGCAGCCAUGCCGGGUGUAUGAAGAAGGCCUUCGGUUUGUAAAGUACUUUCAGCGGUGAGGCGUUACCCGCAGAAGAAGCACCGGCUAACUCCGUGCCAGCAGCCGCGGUAAUUC